rnacentral:lncRNA from 1 species
UAUGGGUGAUGUUGAGAAAGGCAAGAAGAUUUUUAUUAUGAAGUGUUCCCAGUGCCACACUGUUGAAAAGGGAGGAAAGCACAAGAUUGGGCCAAAUCUCCAUGGUCUUUUCAGGUGGAAGACAGGUCAGGCCCCUGGAUACUCUUACACAGCCGCCAAUAAGAACAAAUGCAUCAUCUGGGGAGAGGAUACACUGAUGGAGUAUUUGGAGAAUCCCAAGAAGUACAUCCCUGGAACAAAAAUGAUCUUUGUCAGCAUUAAGAAGAAGGAAGAAAGGGCAGACUUGAUAGCUUAUCUCAAAAAAGCUACUAAU